rnacentral:rRNA from 1 species
GGCGUGAAAACCUUUUACAAUGCACGAAAGUGUGAUAAGGCAACUCCUUGUGCUUAUCCAAAAGAUAGGCUUUUUAGUAUGUAAUGUAUACUAAGAAUAAGUGAUGGGCAAGACCGGUGCCAGCAGCCGCGGUAAUACCGGCGUCACAAGUGGAGAUCACGAUUACUGGGUCUAAAGUGUUCGUAGCUGGUCAUAUAAGUCUCUUGUGAAAGUUCUGUAGCUUAACUCAGAAUUGCAAGAGAUACUGUAUGACUUGAGACCGGAAGAGGUAGUAAAGUA